AACGAACGCUGGCGGCGUGUUUAAGACAUGCAAGUCGCACGGUGUCAUUUUGGUAGCAAUACUUGGAUGGCACAGUGGCGCACGGGUGAGUAACACGUGAAUGACAUGCCCUGCAGAGGGGGAUAGCCCAGGGAAACUUGGAUUAAUACCCCAUGGUAUCGCGAGAUUAAAGGGUGGCCGCAAGGCUGCCGCUGCGGGAUUGGUUCGCGUUCUAUCAGCUUGUUGGCGGGGUAACGGCCCACCAAGGCUACGACGGAUACCUGGUCUGAGAGGACGAUCAGGCACACUGGAACUGAGACACGGUCCAGACACCUACGGGUGGCAGCAGUCGAGAAUAAUUCACAAUGGGGGCAACCCUGAUGGUGCAACGCCGCGUGGAGGAUGAAGGUCUUCGGAUUGUAAACUCCUGUCAUCCGGGAGCAAGACCUGGGAGUUAACAGCUCACAGGGUUGAUAGUACCGGAAGAGGAAGGGACGGCUAACUUCGUGCCAGCAGCCGCAGUAAUAC
rnacentral:rRNA from 1 species